ensembl:lncRNA
CUUAACUGACGAUGUUCUUAGUGUUGAUUUACUGGACGAACGACAAGAGUUAACUAACUUACAAAAUGAAAUUGAAAAAAAUAAGGACUUAAAUGGGCUUUUCAUAUUUAUAUAUCCUAAGUAUGAUACUGAAAAAUAUAGAACAGAGUCCAAUUAUUUUAAAGAAGAAUUAGAGCAAAUUAAAAACAAGAACUAUGCUAUUUAUGGUUUAUCAGAUGACAACACUGAGGAGGAAGUAAGUAAAAAAAAAAAAAAAAAAAAAAAAAAAAAAUGCAUGUCGAUAUGUGUUUUUAUGUUUGUUCCCGUGUGUGUUCUUAUGUGAAACCAAUUUCAGAUGACUAUAUAUGUUUUUCUUUUUGUCUUUUUAACUCUCGUUUUGUCGUUUUGUCUUUUUGUUUUUUUUUUCUUUUUGUCUUUUUGACUUUCCUUUUCGUUUCCUUUUUUAUUUCCUUUGUUUUUUUAAAUUUUCACUUUCGCUCGUAGGUAAUGUGGUCAGAAGAAUUAACAACUCAGUUACUGUUUGACACUGAAAAAGAUUUGUUAAAAAAACUAGGCUGCAAAAAUGAAGAAGGCAAAAUAAUAAGAUCGCAUUUGAUUAUACAAAAUGAUUCUAAGGUUUCUUAUUUUGAAAAAGAAAUAGACGAAGAUAUGUCGUUUGAAAAUGUAAUUAAUUUUCUUUCAGUUAAUGAAAAUGAUAAAACUUAUGAGGAUACGAUAAAAGAUACAUCAGUAGAAAAUGAAGAAAUUAGUAGUAAUGAGUUAGUCACAGAAAAUAAUAAAAACAUAAAUAAUGAAAAGGAAAAAUAUGAUGAUGAAAAUAUGAAAACAGAUGAAGAAAUGACUAGAGAGGAUGAGGAUGAAAGUGAUAAACCCUAUGAAGCACUGAGUACUGAUAUUAAAAACUCUGGCCAUGAGGAAUUUGAGCAUGAAAAAUCUGACCAUGAGGAAUCUGAGCAUGAAAAAUCUGACCAUGAGGAAUCUGAGCAUGAAAAAUCUAAUUAUGAGGAAUCUGAGCAUGAAAAAUCUGAUUAUGAGGAAUCUGAGCAUGAAAAAUCUGACCAUGCAGAUAUAAAUCAAGAAGAAAGUUUUGAAGAAAAUAAUUCCGAAACAGAAAAAGAGAAAGAAGAUAAAGAUGAUGAUAAAACAUAUAAAGAAGACGUAGAAGAAAUCGAAAAAGAUGAAACUCAUAAGUAUGAAUAUGAGAAUACUAAUGAAGAUAUAGAUGAAAAAACGGAUGAACACGCGGAAAACGAAACUAAUAAUGAAACAUAUGAAAAGGACGAAAACGCAGACAACAGCGUUGAGAUUACGAGUGGAUAUUCUGAAAAUGUAGAUAACCAAACUGAGAAUGUAGAUGACAAAAAAGAAGAAAAUGAUAAGGAUAUUGAUAUUAAUAAAAGAAAUGAAAAAAGUGUUGGAGAUACUAAAACAAAAGUUGAUAAGGAAAAAAAACAGACCAAAAAAACAACUCAAAAAAAAAGUAAACCAAAUAAUUUGAAUGAAGAAAAAAAAGCGAAGUCUGCAAAAAAUAUGUUGAAAAAUGAUAAAAAGAA